CACGUAGGGGACGAGCGUUGUCCGGAUUCAUUGGGCGUAAAGCGCGCGUAGGCGGCUCGGAAAGUCGGUCGUGAAAUGCCGGGGCUCAACCCCGGGACUGCGUCCGAUACUCUCGAGCUGGAGGCAGGUAGGGGAGAUCGGAAUUCCUGGUGUAGCGGUGAAAUGCGCAGAUAUCAGGAGGAACACCGGUGGCGAAGGCGGAUCUCUGGGCCGAUACUGACGCUGAGGAGCGAAAGCGUGGGGAGCGAACAGG
rnacentral:rRNA from 1 species